UGUUCAGUGGUGUAGCGGUUUGAGUAUUGGAACUACAAUUCUAGAGACCAGGGUUCAAUUCCCAGUUGGAAAC